CAGAACACUAAGAUGUGAAUUAGGGGACCUGAGUUAGAGUUUCUAUUCUGUUGCUUACAAGAUUUUGAAUCAUGGCCCCGAGAUUCUAGGAUUUCCCAAUGUUCAAGAUGGCAGAGAAGCACUUUUCUUUGACAGAAAUCUGGGUAUUUCUUCUUGUGAAAUAAGCAGUUCAUUUUUCUUCAUCAAAAGACUGGCAGCUAGCAAGUUUCACUCUGAGACAAAAAGCUCGUAGCACGAUCACAUGAUCAUCACCCUUGAGUUCCAUGAGAAAAAUCAGAGGUUCCCAAAGAAGUAAUGUGAUUUGCCCAAGAACACAUGACUGCAAGUCCAAUAUAUACUGCAGCUGUCAUUCCCAUUUUAGAGAUAAGAAAACUGAGGCUGGCAGAAGUGAGCAAGUAAAGCUACUUACUAGCAAGUAAGAGAGCUAGAAGCUGAUCUCUAUGUUGCUGGCUCUAGAACCAGAGCCCCUUCCAUUGCAUAACUCAUAGAAGGCUCCAAGCCUUUUCUGAAGCCAUGAAAGAAUCUCCUCUUCCCCUGAAAAAUGCCAGCUCAGGUCUCAAGGCUCCUAAUGGGCUUUCGAUACAUGAACACCUGCUUAAAAUUAUCUUUAGAUGCUUAACAAAACUGAAAUUAUGCUUUUUAAGAAUAAUUCCUGGCGUUUGAAAUUCCACCCACAGCCUCCAAUGAGGAGAGUUGUAAUGAUUACAGCUCACACUUAGGUGCUGAAUUGUGGCCACUGGGCACAUUGCGCACUUUAGAAUAACUCACAUUUGAUCACUCAGAAAACAUAUAUUAAGCACCUAUUAGAUACAAGCCCUUGUACUCAAGUACUGGGAAUAUAAAAAAAAAAAAGAUAAAACACAGAUGCCACCCUCCAGGAACUUACAGUGGAAUGAGGGAAAGAUGCAAACAGUCACAGGGAUACAGGGGAGGGUGAGGUAAGUGGGGGAGCUGUCCAGGAACUGUGUACUGAGAAAUAUUAGGAGGGAGAGGAGAUUUGUGCUUGGGUGAUGGAGUGAAGAGGAAUAGCAGGCUGCUUGGGGAACAUGCCAUCUAAGUUGCAUCUUGAAGGAACGGAAUGAUGUUGGCAGAUGUUUAUGGAGGUGGGGGUGGGAGAGGUGAAGAAAUUCAUUCCAGAUAUGCAGGACCACACAAGAAAAGGUGAAGAAGCAGGGGAGAACAGGAUAAGAAUAGGAAAUGGGGAAUAGUCCUGUGUGGUUGGAAAGAGUGAUUAUAUAAUGGAGUAAUAUACAUCUAGGAAAAAAGCCUUACACUGUGGGGAGCUUUAAGUACGAAUGAGAGUUUGAUCUCAAUUCAUUAGGUAACCGGCAAUCAUAAGAGAUUUUUGAGCAAGGUGGUGGUAUGAUCUGAGUGGUGAAUUAGAAAGAUGAUAUGUAUCCACUGCAAUAAGACAAUUGCAGAUGGCAGAUACCAGAAUCAGAAAGACCAUUUAGCACAACAUUACAACAGUCAAGACAAUAAAAACAACAACAAUAAUAGCUAACAUUUAUAUAGUGAUGUAAGGUUUAUAAAUCCUUUUACACAUAUUAACGCACUCAGUUAGG